UACGUAGGUGGCAAGCGUUGUCCGGAUUUACUGGGCGUAAAGAGCUCGUAGGCGGUCUGUCGCGUCGGCUGUGAAAUCCCGAGGCUCAACCUCGGGUCUGCAGUCGAUACGGGCAAACUAGAGUACUGCAGGGGAGACUGGAAUUCCUGGUGUAGCGGUGGAAUGCGCAGAUAUCAGGAGGAACACCGGUGGCGAAGGCGGGUCUCUGGGCAGUAACUGACGCUGAGGAGCGAAAGCGUGGGGAGCGAACAGG
rnacentral:rRNA from 1 species